AGCAGCAUGGCGCAGUCUGGAAGCGCGCGGGGCCCAUACGGAAUAUAUGCUUGGCGUAAUCCUCUAACCCCGAGGUCACUCGAUCGAAACGAGUUGCUGCUA